UUAAGUUAUUAAGGGCGCACGGUGGAUGCCUUGGCACUAGAAGCCGAUGAAGGACGUUACUAACGACGAUAUGCUUUGGGGAGCUGUAAGUAAGCUUUGAUCCAGAGAUUUCCGAAUGGGGAAACCCAGCAUGAGUUAUGUCAUGUUAUCGAUAUGUGAAUACAUAGCAUAUCAGAAGGCACACCCGGAGAACUGAAACAUCUUAGUAACCGGAGGAAGAGAAAGAAAAUUCGAUUCCCUUAGUAGCGGCGAGCGAAACGGGAAGAGCCCAAACCAACAAGCUUGCUUGUUGGGGUUGUAGGACACUCUAUACGGAGUUACAAAGGACGACAUUAGACGAAUCAUCUGGAAAGAUGAAUCAAAGAAGGUAAUAAUCCUGUAGUCGAAAAUGUUGUCUCUCUUGAGUGGAUCCUGAGUACGACGGAGCACGUGAAAUUCCGUCGGAAUCUGGGAGGACCAUCUCCUAAGGCUAAAUACUCUCUAGUGACCGAUAGUGAACCAGUACCGUGAGGGAAAGGUGAAAAGCACCCCGGAAGGGGAGUGAAAUAGAACCUGAAACCGUGUGCUUACAAGUAGUCAGAGCCCGUUAAUGGGUGAUGGCGUGCCUUUUGUAGAAUGAACCGGCGAGUUACGAUUUGAUGCAAGGUUAAGCAGUAAAUGUGGAGCCGUAGCGAAAGCGAGUCUGAAUAGGGCGUUUAGUAUUUGGUCGUAGACCCGAAACCAGGUGAUCUACCCUUGGUCAGGUUGAAGUUCAGGUAACACUGAAUGGAGGACCGAACCGACUUACGUUGAAAAGUGAGCGGAUGAACUGAGGGUAGCGGAGAAAUUCCAAUCGAACCUGGAGAUAGCUGGUUCUCUCCGAAAUAGCUUUAGGGCUAGCCUCAAGUGAUGAUUAUUGGAGGUAGAGCACUGUUUGGACGAGGGGCCCCUCUCGGGUUACCGAAUUCAGACAAACUCCGAAUGCCAAUUAAUUUAACUUGGGAGUCAGAACAUGGGUGAUAAGGUCCGUGUUCGAAAGGGAAACAGCCCAGACCACCAGCUAAGGUCCCAAAAUAUAUGUUAAGUGGAAAAGGAUGUGGCGUUGCCCAGACAACUAGGAUGUUGGCUUAGAAGCAGCCAUCAUUUAAAGAGUGCGUAAUAGCUCACUAGUCGAGUGACACUGCGCCGAAAAUGUACCGGGGCUAAACAUAUUACCGAAGCUGUGGAUUGUCCUUUGGACAAUGGUAGGAGAGCGUUCUAAGGGCGUUGAAGCAUGAUCGUAAGGACAUGUGGAGCGCUUAGAAGUGAGAAUGCCGGUGUGAGUAGCGAAAGACGGGUGAGAAUCCCGUCCACCGAUUGACUAAGGUUUCCAGAGGAAGGCUCGUCCGCUCUGGGUUAGUCGGGUCCUAAGCUGAGGCCGACAGGCGUAGGCGAUGGAUAACAGGUUGAUAUUCCUGUACCACCUAUAAUCGUUUUAAUCGAUGGGGGGGACGCAGUAGGAUAGGCGAAGCGUGCGAUUGGAUUGCACGUCUAAGCAGUAAGGCUGAGUAUUAGGCAAAUCCGGUACUCGUUAAGGCUGAGCUGUGAUGGGGAGAAGACAUUGUGUCUUCGAGUCGUUGAUUUCACACUGCCGAGAAAAGCCUCUAGAUAGAAAAUAGGUGCCCGUACCGCAAACCGACACAGGUAGUCAAGAUGAGAAUUCUAAGGUGAGCGAGCGAACUCUCGUUAAGGAACUCGGCAAAAUGACCCCGUAACUUCGGGAGAAGGGGUGCUCUUUAGGGUUAACGCCCAGAAGAGCCGCAGUGAAUAGGCCCAAGCGACUGUUUAUCAAAAACACAGGUCUCUGCUAAACCGUAAGGUGAUGUAUAGGGGCUGACGCCUGCCCGGUGCUGGAAGGUUAAGAGGAGUGGUUAGCUUCUGCGAAGCUACGAAUCGAAGCCCCAGUAAACGGCGGCCGUAACUAUAACGGUCCUAAGGUAGCGAAAUUCCUUGUCGGGUAAGUUCCGACCCGCACGAAAGGCGUAACGAUUUGGGCACUGUCUCAACGAGAGACUCGGUGAAAUCAUAGUACCUGUGAAGAUGCAGGUUACCCGCGACAGGACGGAAAGACCCCGUGGAGCUUUACUGUAGCCUGAUAUUGAAAUUCGGCACAGCUUGUACAGGAUAGGUAGGAGCCUUUGAAACGUGAGCGCUAGCUUACGUGGAGGCGCUGGUGGGAUACUACCCUAGCUGUGUUGGUUUUCUAACCCGCACCACUUAUCGUGGUGGGAGACAGUGUCAGGCGGGCAGUUUGACUGGGGCGGUCGCCUCCUAAAAGGUAACGGAGGCGCUCAAAGGUUCCCUCAGAAUGGUUGGAAAUCAUUCAUAGAGUGUAAAGGCAUAAGGGAGCUUGACUGCGAGACCUACAAGUCGAGCAGGGUCGAAAGACGGACUUAGUGAUCCGGUGGUUCCGCAUGGAAGGGCCAUCGCUCAACGGAUAAAAGCUACCCCGGGGAUAACAGGCUUAUCUCCCCCAAGAGUUCACAUCGACGGGGAGGUUUGGCACCUCGAUGUCGGCUCAUCGCAUCCUGGGGCUGUAGUCGGUCCCAAGGGUUGGGCUGUUCGCCCAUUAAAGCGGUACGCGAGCUGGGUUCAGAACGUCGUGAGACAGUUCGGUCCCUAUCCGUCGUGGGCGUAGGAAAUUUGAGAGGAGCUGUCCUUAGUACGAGAGGACCGGGAUGGACAUACCUCUGGUGUACCAGUUGUCGUGCCAACGGCAUAGCUGGGUAGCUAUGUGUGGACGGGAUAAGUGCUGAAAGCAUCUAAGCAUGAAGCCCCCCUCAAGAUGAGAUUUCCCAACUUCGGUUAUAAGAUCCCUCAAAGAUGAUGAGGUUAAUAGGUUCGAGGUGGAAGCAUGGUGACAUGUGGAGCUGACGAAUACUAAUCGAUCGAAGACUUAAUCAA
rnacentral:rRNA from 1 species